UAGCUAGUUGGUGAGGUAAAGGCUUACCAAGGCGACGAUCUGUAGCGGGUCUGAGAGGAUGAUCCGCCACACUGGAACUGAGACACGGUCCAGACUCCUACGGGAGGCAGCAGUGGGGAAUUUUGGACAAUGGGGGCAACCCUGAUCCAGCCAUGCCGCGUGAGUGAAGAAGGCCUUCGGGUUGUAAAGCUCUUCGGCCGGGAAGAAAUCGCAUGGGCCAAUACCCUGUGUGGAUGACGGUACCGGAAUAAGAAGCACCGGCUAACUACGUGCCAGCAGCCGCGGUAAUACGUAGGGUGCGAGCGUUAAUCGGAAUUACUGGGCGUAAAGCGUGCGCAGGCGGUUUUGUAAGACAGGCGUGAAAUCCCCGGGCUUAACCUGGGAACUGCGUUUGUGACUGCAAGGCUAGAGUACGGCAGAGGGGGGUGGAAUUCCACGUGUAGCAGUGAAAUGCGUAGAGAUGUGGAGGAACACCAAUGGCGAAGGCAGCCCCCUGGGUCGAUACUGACGCUCAUGCACGAAAGCGUGGGUAGCAAACAGGAUUAGAUACCCUGGUAGUCCACGCCCUAAACUAUGUCAACUAGGUGUUGGGUGGGUAAAACCAUUUAGUACCGUAGCUAACGCGUGAAGUUGACCGCCUGGGGAGUACGGCCGCAAGGUUAAAACUCAAAGGAAUUGACGGGGACCCGCACAAGCGGUGGAUGAUGUGGAUUAAUUCGAUGCAACGCGAAAAACCUUACCUACCCUUGACAUGCCAGGAACUUGCCAGAGAUGGCUUGGUGCCCGAAAGGGAGCCUGGACACAGGUGCUGCAUGGCUGUCGUCAGCUCGUGUCGUGAGAUGUUGGGUUAAGUCCCGCAACGAGCGCAACCCUUGUCGUUAAUUGCCAUCAUUUAGUUGGGCACUUUAACGAGACUGCCGGUGACAAACCGGAGGAAGGUGGGGAUGACGUCAAGUCCUCAUGGCCCUUAUGGGUAGGGCUUCACACGUCAUACAAUGGUCGGUACAAAGGGUUGCCAAGCCGCGAGGCGGAGCCAAUCCCAGAAAGCCGAUCGUAGUCCGGAUUGCAGGCUGCAACUCGCCUGCAUGAAGUCGGAAUCGCUAGUAAUCGUGGAUCAGCAUGUCACGGUGAAUACGUUCCCGGGACUUGUACACACCGCCCGUCACACCAUGGGAGCGGGUUCCGCCAGAAGUAGGUAGCCUAACCGCAAGGGGGGCGCUUACCACGGCGGGGUUCGUGACUGGGGUGAAGUCGUAACAAGGUAGCCGUAGGGGAACCUGCGGCUG
rnacentral:rRNA from 1 species